ACAAAAGAAGGUGCAAGAAGCCUCCUUCACAAAAAUCAAGAAGUGCUGAAAGACCAAAGAAUGUAGAAAGGCCAAGAAAAAGAACUAAGGUUAUGUGUUUAUAUUAUUAUUGAUUAAUUCAUUUAGUACAUUUGAUGUAGUUAACUAAAGUCAAUAAUUUUGCAAUUGCAGGCACCUUCAUCUUCUGUUAGUGCAACCACUUCAACCCCACAUCAAAAUACAAGAACAAAUGUUGCAGGACAAUCCUCUACACCAAUACAAUCCUCUACACAAACUGGUCCUUCUACACAAUCCUCUACACCAGCUGGUCCUUCUACACAACCUGUUAGAGGACAAAGUAGCAAAAGACAUGGACAAAAAAA
rnacentral:lncRNA from 1 species